AAGUCGGGUAUGCAUACCCGUUUGCAUGUACUUUAUGAAUAAGGAUCGGCUAACUCCGUGCCAGCAGCCGCGGUAAUACGGAGGAUCCGAGCGUUAUCCGGAUUUAUUGGGUUUAAAGGGAGCGUAGAUGGAUGUUUAAGUCAGUUGUGAAAGUUUGCGGCUCAACCGUAAAAUUGCAGUUGAUACUGGAUGUCUUGAGUGCAGUUGAGGCAGGCGGAAUUCGUGGUGUAGCGGUGAAAUGCUUAGAUAUCACGAAGAACUCCGAUUGCGAAGGCAGCCUGCUAAGCUGCAACUGACAUUGAGGCUCGAAAGUGUGGGUAUCAAACAGGAUUAGAUACCCUGGUAGUCCACACGGUAAACGAUGAAUACUCGCUGUUUGCGAUAUACGGCAAGCGGCCAAGCGAAAGCGUUAAGUAUUCCACCUGGGGAGUACGCCGGCAACGGUGAAACUCAAAGGAAUUGACGGGGGCCCGCACAAGCGGAGGAACAUGUGGUUUAAUUCGAUGAUACGCGAGGAACCUUACCCGGGCUUAAAUUGCACUCGAAUGAUCCGGAAACGGUUCAGCUAGCAAUAGCGAGUGUGAAGGUGCUGCAUGGUUGUCGUCAGCUCGUGCCGUGAGGUGUCGGCUUAAGUGCCAUAACGAGCGCAACCCUUGUUGUCAGUUACUAACAGGUGAUGCUGAGGACUCUGACAAGACUGCCAUCGUAAGAUGUGAGGAAGGUGGGGAUGACGUCAAAUCAGCACGGCCCUUACGUCCGGGGCUACACACGUGUUACAAUGGGGGGUACAGAGGGCCGCUACCACGCGAGUGGAUGCCAAUCCCUAAAACCCCUCUCAGUUCGGACUGGAGUCUGCAACCCGACUCCACGAAGCUGGAUUCGCUAGUAAUCGCGCAUCAGCCACGGCGCGGUGAAUACGUUCCCGGGCCUUGUACACACCGCCCGUCAAGCCAUGGGAGCCGGGGGUACCUGAAGUGCGUAACCGCGAGGAUCGCCCUAGGGUAAAACUGGUGACUGGGGCUAAGUCUAACCAAGGUAA
rnacentral:rRNA from 1 species